AACGUAGGGGACAAGCGUUAUCCGGAUUUACUGGGCGUAAAGAGCUCGUAGGCGGCUUAGUAAGUCGGGUGUGAAAACCCCAGGCUCAACCUGGGGACGCCACCCGAUACUGCUAUAGCUAGAGUCCAGUAGGGGAGUGUGGAAUUCCCAGUGUAGCGGUGAAAUGCGCAGAUAUUGGGAGGAACACCAGCGGCGAAGGCGGCACUCUGGGCUGGUACUGACGCUGAGACGCGAAAGCGUGGGGAGCGAACAGG
rnacentral:rRNA from 1 species